rnacentral:rRNA from 1 species
ACGGCUCAGUAACACGUGGACAACCUACCCUGAGGAGGGGGAUAACCCCGGGAAACUGGGGAUAAUACCCCAUAGACUAUGGAUGCUGGAAUGCUCUGUAGUUAAAAGGCCCGCCGCCUCAGGAUGGGUCUGCGGCCGAUUAGGUUGUUGUUGGGGUAACGGCCCAACAAGCCUGUAAUCGGUACGGGUUGUGGGAGCAAGAGCCCGGAGAUGGAUUCUGAGACACGAAUCCAGGCCCUACGGGGCGCAGCAGGCGCGAAAACUUUACAAUGCGAGCAAUCGUGAUAAGGGAACUCCGAGUGCCCGUAAAAUCGGGCUGUCCGCCAGUGUAAAUAACUGGUGAAGAAAGGGCCGGGCAAGACCGGUGCCAGCCGCCGCGGUAAUACCGGCGGCUCGAGUGGUGGCCACUAUUACUGGGCUUAAAGCGUUCGUAGCUGGUCUGUUAAGUCUCUGGGGAAAUCUUCCGGCUUAACAGGAAGGCGUCUCAGGGAUACUGACAGACUAGGGACCGGAAGAGGUGAGAGGUACUCCAGGGGUAGGAGUGAAAUCCUGUAAUCCUUGGGGGACCACCUGUGGCGAAGGCGUCUCACCAGGACGGCUCCGACAGUGAGGAACGAAAGCUGGGGGAGCAAACCGGAUUAGAUACCCGGGUAGUCCCAGCUGUAAACGAUGCGCGUUAGGUGUAUCGGUGACCACGAGUCACCGAGGUGCCGAAGAGAAAUCGUGAAACGCGCCGCCUGGGAAGUACGGUCGCAAGGCUGAAACUUAAAGGAAUUGGCGGGGGAGCAC